rnacentral:rRNA from 1 species
AUGUACUUGACCACAAAGAAAGUUGCGCACUACUUCUCAGAUCAUUCAAUUACAGUCGUCAGCGACGCUCCAUUGUCAGAAAUUUUGAACAACAGAGAUGCAACUGGUCGAGUGGCCAAAUGGGCGAUUGAACUCUUUCUAUUGGAUAUUAAGUUUGAAGCAAAGAAAGCAAUCAAAUCCCAAGCAAUAGCAGAUUUUCUCGUCGAGUGGAUUGAACAGGAGCUGCCGACUCAGAUUCAGUCAAAACAUUGGACUAUGUUCUUUGACGGGUCCAAGAUGUUGAAUGGUUCAGGUGCUGGGGUAGUCCUGGUGUCUCCGCGAGGCGACAAGCUCAGCUAUGUUCUCCAGAUUCACUUUGACUCCUCCAACAAUGAAGCUGAAUAUGAGGCACUUCUGUACGAGUUGCGUAUGGCCAUUUCACUCGGCGUCCGGCGCCUUAUGGUUUAUGGCGACUCGGAUUUGGUGGUCAAUCAAGUGAUGAAGGAAUGGGACGUGAGGAGUCCAGCUAUGACUAGUUAUUGCAAUGCAGUGAGGAAAUUGGAAAAGAAGUUUGAGGGGUUAGAGCUUCACCAUAAACCCCGAUUGAAGAACUAG